rnacentral:rRNA from 1 species
AGCGAACGUUAGCGGCGGGCCUAACACAUGCAAGUCGAGCGAGAAAGGGGCUUCGGCCCUGAGUAAAGCGGCGGACGGGGGAGUAACACGGAGGUAAUCUUCCCUUGAGCGGGGGACAACGGUCCGAAAGGACCGCUAAUACCGCAUACGUUUCUGAGGACUUCGGUCCUUGGAAGGAAAGCCAGGCCGCAAGAUCCGGCACUCGAGGAAGAGCAUGCGUCGCAUCAGCUAGUUGGUGGGGUAAUGGCCUACCAAGGCGAAGACGCGUAGCUGGUCUGAGAGGAUGAUCAGCCACACUGGGACUGAGACACGGCCCAGACUCCUACGGGAGGCAGCAGUGGGGAAUAUUGGACAAUGGGCGCAAGCCUGAUCCAGCCACGCCGCGUGAGUGAUGAAGGCCUUCGGGUCGUAAAGCUCUGUGGGGAGGGACGAACCGCUGCACGUGCAUAGCGUGCAGCAUGACGGUACCUCCUUAGCAAGCACCGGCUAACUUCGUGCCAGCCGCCGCCGUAA